GAUGAAGAACGUAGCGAAAUGCGAUACUUGGUGUGAAUUGCAGAAUCCCGUGAACCAUCGAGUCUUUGAACGCAAGUUGCGCCCGAAGCCAUUAGGCCGAGGGCACGCCUGCCUGGGCGUCACACAUCGUUGCCCCCCCAUCUACUCCUUCGGGAUUGCGGGGGGCGGAUGAUGGCCUCUCGUGCGCCUCGUCGCGCGGUUGGCCUAAAUGCCAAGUCCUCGGCGACGCACGCCACGACAAUCGGUGGUUGCGAAACCUCGGUUGCCUGUCGUGUGCGGUCGUCGCGCAUCGAGGGCUCGAAAAAAUUGCCGGGCUUCGGCUCGACUUUCAACGCCACCCCAGGUCAGGCGGGGUUACCCGCUGAAUUUAAGCAUAUCAAUAAGCGGAGGA
rnacentral:misc_RNA from 1 species